CACCUGCGGAGAAGGAGAAGAAAAAGAAAAAAACAAAAACAACACCAAAAGAAACACAACAAGAAAAGAAAAAAGUUGUUGUGGAGGAUUCACCUCCUGAAGAAGAUCAAUACUUUGACGGUGAGAGAUAUGAAAUAUCAAGUGACGAA